AUUGAACGCUGGCGGCAUGCUUUACACAUGCAAGUCGAACGGCAGCGCGGGGCAACCUGGCGGCGAGUGGCGAACGGGUGAGUAAUACAUCGGAACGUACCCAGAAGUGGGGGAUAACGUAGCGAAAGUUACGCUAAUACCGCAUACGUUCUACGGAAGAAAGUGGGGGAUCGCAAGACCUCAUGCUUUUGGAGCGGCCGAUGUCUGAUUAGCUAGUUGGUGAGGUAAAGGCUCACCAAGGCGACGAUCAGUAGCUGGUCUGAGAGGACGACCAGCCACACUGGGACUGGGACACGGCCCAGACUCCUGCGGGAUGAAGCAGUGGGGAAUUUUGGACAAUGGGCGCAGGCCUGAUCCAGCAAUGCCGCGUGAGUGAAGAAGGCCUUCGGGUUGUAAAGCUCUUUUGUCAGGGAAGAAACGGCUGGGGCUAAUAUCCCCGGCUAAUGACGGUACCUGAAGAAUAAGCACCGGCUAACUACGUGCCAGCCGCCGCGGUAACAC
rnacentral:rRNA from 1 species